GCUGGGCAUGGUGGUGCAUACCUGUAAUCCCAGCAUCCCAGGAGGCUGAGACAGGAGGACCUUGAUUUCAAAGCCAGACUCAGCAAAAAGCAAGGUCCUAAGCAACUCAGUGAGACUCUGUCUCUA
rnacentral:sRNA from 1 species